rnacentral:rRNA from 1 species
GAUGAACGCUGGCGGCGUGCCUAAUACAUGCAAGUCGAGCGAACAGAUGAGGAGCUUGCUCCUCUGACGUUAGCGGCGGACGGGUGAGUAACACGUGGAUAACCUACCUAUAAGACUGGGAUAACUUCGGGAAACCGGAGCUAAUACCGGAUAAUAUAUUGAACCGCAUGGUUCAAUAGUGAAAGACGGUUUUGCUGUCACUUAUAGAUGGAUCUGCGCCGCAUUAGCUAGUUGGUAAGGUAACGGCUUACCAAGGCGACGAUGCGUAGCCGACCUGAGAGGGUGAUCGGCCACACUGGAACUGAGACACGGUCCAGACUCCUACGGGAGGCAGCAGUAGGGAAUCUUCCGCAAUGGGCGAAAGCCUGACGGAGCAACGCCGCGUGAGUGAUGAAGGUCUUCGGAUCGUAAAACUCUGUUAUUAGGGAAGAACAAAUGUGUAAGUAACUAUGCACGUCUUGACGGUACCUAAUCAGAAAGCCACGGCUAACUACGUG